rnacentral:rRNA from 1 species
ACGCUGGCGGCAGGCUUAACACAUGCAAGUCGAACGGUAACAGGGAUUAGCUUGCUAAUUUGCUGACGAGUGGCGGACGGGUGAGUAAUGCUUGGGAAUCUGGCUUAUGGAGGGGGAUAACUACGGGAAACUGUAGCUAAUACCGCGUAAUAUCGGAAGAUUAAAGGGUGGGACUUUCGAGCCACCUGCCAUAAGAUGAGCCCAAGUGGGAUUAGGUAGUUGGUUAGGUAAAGGCUGACCAAGCCGACGAUCUCUAGCUGGUCUGAGAGGAUGACCAGCCACACUGGAACUGAGACACGGUCCAGACUCCUACGGGAGGCAGCAGUGGGGAAUAUUGCACAAUGGGGGGAACCCUGAUGCAGCCAUGCCGCGUGAAUGAAGAAGGCCUUCGGGUUGUAAAGUUCUUUCGGUGACGAGGAAGGUUGAUAGGUUAAUAGCCUAUCAAAUUGACGUUAAUCACAGAAGAAGCACCGGCUAACUCCGUGCCAGCAGCCGCGGUAAUACGGGGGGUGCGAGCGUUAAUCGGAAUAACUGGGCGUAAAGGGCACGCAGGCGGUGACUUAAGCGAGAUGUGAAAGCCCCGAGCUUAACUUGGGAAUUGCAUUUCAUACUGGGUCGCUAGAGUACUUUAGGGAGGGGUAGAAUUCCACGUGUAGCGGUGAAAUGCGUAGAGAUGUGGAGGAAUACCGAAGGCGAAGGCAGCCCCUUGGGAAUGUACUGACGCUCAUGUGCGAAAGCGUGGGGAGCAAACAGGAUUAGAUACCCUGGUAGUCCACGCUGUAAACGAUGUCGAUUUGGGGAUUGGGCUUUGAGCUUGGUGCCCGUAGCUAACGUGAUAAAUCGACCGCCUGGGGAGUACGGCCGCAAGGUUAAAACUCAAAUGAAUUGACGGGGGCCCGCACAAGCGGUGGAGC